GGGGAUUUAGCUCAGCGGCAUAAGCGCCUGCCUUGCAAGUAGGCAGCCAUGAGUUCAAUCCCUG
rfam:Cavia porcellus supercont2_13 genomic scaffold, whole genome shotgun sequence.